rnacentral:rRNA from 2 species
AUGGGACUGCGGCCUAUCAGUUUGUUGGUGAGGUAAUGGCCCACCAGGACUAUUACAGGUACGGGCUCUGAGAGGAGUAGCCCGGAGAUGGGUACUGAGACACGGACCCAGGCCCUAUGGGGCGCAGCAGGCGAGAAAGCUUUGCAAUGUGCGAAAGCACGACAAGGUUAAUCCGAGUGAUUUGUGCUAAACGAAUCUUUUGUUAGUCCUAGAAACACUAACGAAUAAGGGGUGGGCAAGUUCUGGUGUCAGCCGCCGCGGUAAAACCAGCACCUCAAGUGGUCAGGAUGAUUAUUGGGCCUAAAGCAUCAGUAGCCGGCUCUGUAAGUUUUCGGUUAAAUCUGUAUGCUCAACAUACAGGCUGCCGGGAAUACUGCAGAGCUAGGGAGUGGGAGAGGUAGACGGUACUCGGUAGGGAGGGGUAAAAUCCUUUGAUCUAUUGAUGACCACCUGUGGCGAAGGCGGUCUACCAGAACACGUCCGACGGUGAGGGAUGAAAGCUGGGGGAGCAAACCGGAUUAGAUACCCGGGUAGUCCCAGCUGUAAACUAUGCAAACUCAGUGAUGCAUUGACUUGUGGUCAAUGCAGUGCUGCAGGGAAGCCGUUAAGUUUGCCGCCUGGGAAGUACGUACGCAAGUAUGAAACUUAAAGGAAUUGGCGGGGGAGCACCACAAGGGGUGAAGCCUGCGGUUC